AUGCCCUCGCCGGAGUCACCCACUGGAGUCGAGGCCGCAGCUUUCCCUUCCACUGGAUCCCGCCGCCGCGCUGCCGUUUCCCGUCUCCAGCCGCUCAAGUCCUGCCUCGCCGCACCUCUGCUUCACGCGAGCAAAGACGAGACGACUGCUGCAGAGCCGCCUCGCCCCGCCGCGCUGAACCGCUGUUGUCUGCCUCGUCAAAUCGUGCGAGAGGAGCUCGCCCGGUCCAGCCGCGCGUUGACCGCGCUGGCCAGCUGCGUGGGCCGGCCUCCUCUCGCGCCGCGGCCCAGCACCGCUUCCAGCAAGGCCCGGCUUCCUGAAGCCCAACGUGAGGAAGCCCACCUCCUGUUUGCUCCUGUGCAGCCCAGUUCAGGCUAG
rnacentral:rRNA from 1 species